rnacentral:rRNA from 1 species
AGCCUGAUGCAGCAACGCCGCGUGAGGGAUGACGGCCUCUCGGGUUGUAAACCUCUUUUAGUAGGGAAGAAGCGACUGAGUUUACUCUGAGUGACGGUACCUGCAGAAAAAGCACCGGCUAACUACGUGCCAGCAGCCGCGGUAAUACGUAGGGUGCAAGCGUUGUCCGGAAUUAUUGGGCGUAAAGAGCUCGUAGGCGGUUUGUCGCGUCUGCUGUGAAAUCUGGGGGCUCAACCCCCAGCCUGCAGUGGGUACGGGCAGACUAGAGUGCGGUAGGGGAGAUUGGAAUUCCUGGUGUAGCGGUGGAAUGCGCAGAUAUCAGGAGGAACACCGAUGGCGAAGGCAGAUCUCUGGGCCGUUACUGACGCUGAGGAGCGAAAGCGUGGGGAGCGAACAGGAUUAGAUACCCUGGUAGUCCACGCCGUAAACGUUGGGAACUAGAUGUGGGGGCCAUUCCACGGUCUCCGUGUCGCAGCUAACGCAUUAAGUUCCCCGCCUGGGGAGUACGGCCGCAAGGCUAAAACUCAAAGGAAUUGACGGGGGCCCGCACAAGCGGCGGAGCAUGCGGAUUAAUUCGAUGCAACGCGAAGAACCUUACCAAGGCUUGACAUAUACCGGAAACGUCCAGAGAUGG